rnacentral:rRNA from 1 species
UAGUCCACGCCGUAAACGAUGGUCACUAGCUGUUUGGACUUCGGUCUGAGUGGCUAAGCGAAAGUGAUAAGUGACCCACCUGGGGAGUACGUUCGCAAGAAUGAAACUCAAAGGAAUUGACGGGGGCCCGCACAAGCGGUGGAGCGUGUGGUUUAAUUCGAUGAUACGCGAGGAACCUUACCAGGGCUUAAAUGUAAGUUGCAUUAGCUAGAGAUAGCUAUUUCUUCGGACUACUUACAAGGUGCUGCAUGGUUGUCGUCAGCUCGUGCCGUGAGGUGUCAGGUUAAGUCCUAUAACGAGCGCAACCCCUGUUGUUAGUUACCAUCGAGUAAUGUCGGGAACUCUAACAAGACUGCCGGUGCAAACCGCGAGGAAGGUGGGGAUGACGCCAAACCAUCACGGCCCUUACGUCCUGGGCUACACACGUGCUACAAUGGUAGGUACAGAGGGCAGCCACUGCGUGAGCAGGAGCGAAUCCUUAAAACCUAUCUCAGUUCGGAUCGGAGUCUGCAACUCG